GAUGAAGAACGUAGCGAAAUGCGAUAAUUAAUGUGAAUUGCAGAAUUUAGUGAAUCAUCGAAUCUUUGAACGCGCAUUGCGCCCCUUGGUAUUCCGGGGGGCAUGCCUGUUCGAGCGUCAUUUCAACCCUCAAGCUCUGCUUGGUCUUGGGCCGCGCCGGCAACGGCGGGCCUCAAAAACAGUGGCGGCGCCAUCUGGUCCCUCAGCGUAGUAAUUCUUCUCGCUGCUGGGCCCCGGUGGCCGCUUGCCAGCAACCCCAAACUUUCUAUGGUUGACCUCGGAUCAGGUAGGGAUACCCGCUGAACUUAAGCAUAUCAAUAAGCGGAGGA
rnacentral:misc_RNA from 1 species